rnacentral:rRNA from 1 species
ACCUCGGAUCAGGUAGGGAUACCCGCUGAACUUAAGCAUAUCAAUAAGCGGAGGAAAAGAAACCAACAGGGAUUACCUCAGUAACGGCGAGUGAAGCGGUAACAGCUCAAAUUUGAAAUCUGGGUCUUUCAGGCUCCGAGUUGUAAUUUGUAGAAGAUGCUUUGGGUGCGGCCCCGGUCUAAGUUCCUUGGAACAGGACGUCAUAGAGGGUGAGAAUCCCGUAUGUGAUCGGUGGCUUGCGCCCGUGUAAAGCUCUUUCGACGAGUCGGGUUGUUUGGGAAUGCAGCUCUAAAUGGGUGGUAAAUUUCAUCUAAAGCUAAAUAUUGGCCAGAGACCGAUAGCGCACAAGUAGAGUGAUCGAAAGAUGAAAAGCACUUUGGAAAGAGAGUUAAACAGUACGUGAAAUUGUUGAAAGGGAAGCGCUUGCAACCAGACUUGCGCGGGGUUGAUCAUCCGGGGUUCUCCCCGGUGCACUCGGCCUCGCUCAGGCCAGCAUCGGUUUCGGUGGUUGGAUAAAGGCCUUGGGAAUGUGGCUCCUCUCGGGGAGUGUUAUAGCCCUCGGUGCAAUGCAGCCUACCGGGACCGAGGA